AGAGUUUGAUCAUGGCUCAGAUUGAACGCUGGCGGCAUGCUUUACACAUGCAAGUCGAACGGUAACAGGUCUUCGGAUGCUGACGAGUGGCGAACGGGUGAGUAAUACAUCGGAACGUGCCUAGUAGUGGGGGAUAACUACUCGAAAGAGUAGCUAAUACCGCAUGAGAUCUACGGAUGAAAGCAGGGGACCUUCGGGCCUUGUGCUACUAGAGCGGCUGAUGGCAGAUUAGGUAGUUGGUGGGGUAAAGGCUUACCAAGCCUGCGAUCUGUAGCUGGUCUGAGAGGACGACCAGCCACACUGGGACUGAGACACGACCCAGACUCCUACGGGAGGCAGCAGUGGGGAAUUUUGGACAAUGGGCGAAAGCCUGAUCCAGCAAUGCCGCGUGCAGGAUGAAGGCCCUCGGGUUGUAAACUGCUUUUGUACGGAACGAAAAGCCUGGGGCUAAUAUCCCCGGGUCAUGACGGUACCGUAAGAAUAAGCACUGGCUAACUACGUGCCAGCAGCCGCGGUAAUACGUAGGGUGCAAGCGUUAAUCGGAAUUACUGGGCGUAAAGCGUGCGCAGGCGGUUUUGUAAGACAGUGGUGAAAUCCCCGGGCUCAACCUGGGAACUGCCAUUGUGACUGCAAGGCUAGAGUGCGGCAGAGGGGGAUGGAAUUCCGCGUGUAGCAGUGAAAUGCGUAGAUAUGCGGAGGAACACCGAUGGCGAAGGCAAUCCCCUGGGCCUGCACUGACGCUCAUGCACGAAAGC
rnacentral:rRNA from 1 species